UAGAAGUUGUUACGGGCACACGGUGGAUGCCUUGGCAUCAGGAGCUGAUGAAGGACGUGGAAAUCUGCGAUAAGCCUCGGGGAGCUGAUAAACGAGCUGUGAUCCGAGGGUCUCCGAAUGGGGUAACCCGGCUGCGUAUCAUGCGUGGUCACUCGUAUCUGAAUUCAUAGGGUGCGAGGAGGAACGUGGGGAAGUGAAACAUCUCAGUACCCAUAGGAAGAGAAAACAAUAGUGAUUCCGUGAGUAGUGGCGAGCGAAAGCGGAUGGUGGCUAAACCGGUUGUGUGUGAUACCUGGCGAGGGUUGCAUGAUCGGGGUUGUGGGAUGCGUUGUUCUCGGGGUCGCCACCCCGGGCGCUGUGGCGCUGUGGUAGUCGAACUGGUGGUGAGUGCCAGACCGUAGGGGGUGUGAGUCCCGUAGACGAAACCGUGGUGUGCGUGGUGUGACGUUGUUCCCGAGUAGCACGGGGCCCGUGAAAUCUCGUGUGAAUCUGCCAGGACCACCUGGUAAGCCUGAAUACUUCCUGAUGACCGAUAGCGGAUCAGUACCGUGAGGGAAUGGUGAAAAGUACCCCGGGAGGGGAGUGAAAUAGUACCUGAAACCGUGUGCUUACAAGCCGUUGGAGCCUUUUGGGGUGACAGCGUGCCUUUUGAAGAAUGAGCCUGCGAGUUAGUGUUACGUCGCGAGAUUAACCCGUGUGGGGUAGUCGUAGCGAAAGCGAGUCUGAAUAGGGCGUUGUGUAGUGGCGUGAUCUAGACCCGAAGCGGGGUGAUCUACCCAUGGCCAGGUUGAAGCGCGUGUAAGAGCGCGUGGAGGACCGAACCCACUUCAGUUGAAAAUGGAGGGGAUGAGCUGUGGGUAGGGGUGAAAGGCCAAUCAAACUCCGUGAUAGCUGGUUCUCCCCGAAAUGCAUUUAGGUGCAGCGUUGCGUGUUGCUU
rnacentral:rRNA from 1 species